ACACCACCCACACACACCACCACGCCCUGUCCCCUUUCUCCACCCUGCAAGCUAGUUGCAUUUACCUCACAGAGCCUGGGCUGCGACUUGAAAGACUUUAGGCAGCAACAGAGUGACCCUGGGGGUGCUCUUGACCGACAGCCGCACCUCCGGCGUCUAGGACCUCCGAGCAGGGAUGCAUCUGGGGGUCUAGGGAAGCACUUCCACCCCCUCCUCUCCUCAACCCUGGCAGGAUGGUGAGUAGUUAACAUCCCCUCCCCAACCCCCCCUUGUUCAGGGUCCCCAGACUUCCAAGCAGAUUGAGGAGAGGAGCUUCGAGAGCCAACCCUCCAGCCUGUAAGGACCUUGAUAUCCAAAGGACAGCUGAAGAAAGUAAUGUGCCUGCAUUUUUGCCACUUCAUUCCCACAGUGCCCGAAAUGCCAGCUCCUCCUUGGUGUUCUCCUUUCAAGAUUUGAAUUCAAAUCCCAUAUUGGCAGCCCUGAUACCGCUGGGGGAAGGGUGAGGCUACCGCUGCUUCAAGACAGUGACGUUUCUCUCCGGUCAGCUGUCAGGAGCGCUGAUGAGCU
rnacentral:sRNA from 1 species